GGAGGCGGAUCGGUCCUGGUGGGCCGCCCGGACUUCAAAUCCGGUUUGCAUCGUGGCGAUCCCACGGUGGGUGUGUUCGAUUCGCACACGCCUCCGCCA
rnacentral:tRNA from 1 species